rnacentral:rRNA from 1 species
UACAGAGGUGGCAAGCGUUGUUCGGAAUUACUGGGCGUAAAGGGCGCGUAGGCGGUUCUGUAAGUCCCGCGUGAAAUCCCCCGGCUCAACUGGGGAACUGCGCGGGAAACUGUGGGGCUAGAGUUCAGGAGAGGGAAGCGGAAUUCCGGGUGUAGCGGUGAAAUUCGUAGAUAUUAGCUAGAACACCAGUGGCGAAGGCGGCCAACUGGUCCGGCACUGACGCUGAGGUGCGAAAGCGUGGGGAGCAAACAGG